GAUGAACGCUAGCUACAGGCUUAACACAUGCAAGUCGAGGGGCAGCGCAGUGUAGCAAUACACGGGCGGCGACCGGCGCACGGGUGCGUAACGCGUAUCCAACCUUCCCGUUACUCAGGGAUAGCCUUCCGAAAGGGAGAUUAAUACCUGAUGGUGUUUGAAUUCCGCAUGUUAUUCAAACUAAAGAUUUAUCGGUAACGGAUGGGGAUGCGUGACAUUAGAUAGUAGGCGGGGUAACGGCCCACCUAGUCUACGAUGUCUAGGGGUUCUGAGAGGAAGGUCCCCCACACUGGAACGGAGACACGGUCCAGACUCCUACGGGAGGCAGCAGUGAGGAAUAUUGGUCAAUGGUCGGAAGACUGAACCAGCCAAGUAGCGUGAAGGAUGAAGGUUCUAUGGAUUGUAAACUUCUUUUAUACGGGAAUAAAACCUCCCACGUGUGGGAGCUUGUAUGUACCGUAUGAAUAAGCAUCGGCUAACUCCGUGCCAGCCGCCGCCGUAACAC
rnacentral:rRNA from 1 species